rnacentral:rRNA from 1 species
AUUGAACGCUGGCGGCAGGCCUAACACAUGCAAGUCGAACGAGUGGCGGACGGGUGAGUAAUGUCUUGGAAACUGCCUGAUGGAGGGGGAUAACUACUGGACACGGUAGCUAAUACCGCAUACCAUCAGAUGUGCCCAGAUGGGAUUAGCUUGUUGGUGGGGUAACGGCUCACCAAGGCGACGAUCCCUAGCUGGUCUGAGAGGAUGACCAGACACACGGGAACUGAGACACGGUCCAGACUCCUACGGGAGGCAGCAGUGGGGAAUAUUGGACAAUGGGCGCAAGCCUGAGGCAGCCAUGCCGGGUGUAUGAAGAAGGCCUUCGGGUUGGAAAGUACUUUCAGCGGGGAGGCGUUACCCGCAGAAGAAGCACCGGCUAACUCCGGGCCAGCAGCCGCGGUAAUAC